rnacentral:rRNA from 1 species
GUGGGGAAUAUUGGACAAUGGGCGCAAGCCUGAUCCAGCCAUGCCGCGUGAGUGAUGAAGGCCCUAGGGUUGUAAAGCUCUUUCACCGGUGAAGAUAAUGACGGUAACCGGAGAAGAAGCCCCGGCUAACUUCGUGCCAGCAGCCGCGGUAAUACGAAGGGGGCUAGCGUUGUUCGGAUUUACUGGGCGUAAAGCGCACGUAGGCGGACUUUUAAGUCAGGGGUGAAAUCCCAGAGCUCAACUCUGGAACUGCCUUUGAUACUGGAAGUCUUGAGUAUGGUAGAGGUGAGUGGAAUUCCGAGUGUAGAGGUGAAAUUCGUAGAUAUUCGGAGGAACACCAGUGGCGAAGGCGGCUCACUGGACCAUUACUGACGCUGAGGUGCGAAAGCGUGGGGAGCAAACAGGAUUAGAAACCCUAGUAGUCC